CUUGUCUCAAGACUAAGCCAUGCAUGUCCAAGUAUAAGCGAUCUUAUACGGCGAAACUGCGAAUGGCUCAUUAAAUCAGUUAUAGUUUAUUUGAUGGUCACCGUCCACAUGGAUAACCGUGGUAAUUCUAGAGCUAAUACAUGCGUCGAGUCCCGACUGUUGCGGAAGGGAUGUAUUUAUUAGAUUCAAAACCAAUGCGGGACYCCGGUCCCGGUGUUUGGUGAUUCAUGGUAACUGUUCGGAGCGCACGGCCCUGGUGCCGGCGCCGGAUCAUUCAAGUUUCUGCCCUAUCAACUGUCGAUGGUAAGGUAUUGGCUUACCAUGGUUGCAACGGGUGACGGAGAAUUAGGGUUCGAUUCCGGAGAGGGAGCCUGAGAAACGGCUACCACAUCCAAGGAAGGCAGCAGGCGCGCAAAUUACCCAAUCCCGACACGGGGAGGUAGUGACAAUAAAUAACAAUACAGGGCUUUGUUAAGUCUUGUAAUUGGAAUGAGAACAAUUUAAAUCCCUUAACGAGGAACAAUUGGAGGGCAAGUCUGGUGCCAGCAGCCGCGGUAAUUCCAGCUCCAAUAGCGUAUAUUAAAGUUGUUGCAGUUAAAAAGCUCGUAGUUGGAUUUCGGCGGCGCGCUCUCGGUCCGCCUGGCGGCGUGUCACUGGGAGCGCGCGGCUUUCUCGGCAGGGCCGCGCGUG
rnacentral:rRNA from 1 species